AUGAACAUUUCCAAUGGCCAGUUGUGCUCUCUUGCAGGGAUAUGCUUGACUUUGUUUGCCACUGGAUAUAACACAAAUCAUUAUGAGUACACAAGGGGUCAUCCGUACUAUGGACUAUUUUAUCUCAGUGGCCUGGAGUGGUGCAACAAUGAGAGGCAUCUCUCAAAGAACCUGUGCAAAAUUCACUGCGAAAAAUUUCUAGAUGAUGAUAUCAGAGAUGACAUUGCAUGUGCAAAGAAAGUUGCUGCCAGCAAGGAUGGAAUGCUGUCUUGGAAACCUUUUCGAGAUUACUGCAGACACCCUAUGCCUGAAGUAGUGUACUGGGAAUGUAAGACAGACUGAAAUAAAGUAGUCAAUGUAAUAUUAUGCUUGGCUAUUCUACCCAAUCAGAAUUGUUUGUGUGACCUGCCAAAUCUCAUCCUGCUUUUUGUUGUUAUUUGUAUUAAGCUGACUUUGAAUUAUACUGAUUCUAUAAACAAGAGGCCUCCAAAUGCACCAGUCAUCAACUGUCCUAGUUAGGUCUUCCAGGCUGCUUAUGAAGAAGGAAAAUGUAUUAAUUGAUGAUAUUUUGAUCUUUGAAAUAAAUCAUUUAAAUAAAUCAUUAAAGCUGCAAUUUCUGGAGAAAUUUUCAGGAGAUAUUAACUUGUCUGGGAAUGUAUAUCAACUGGACCCCUUGAUGCAGCAGGGAAAUCUGUUCCAAAGAAUAACUAGCAAUUCACACUUGCCUCAAACAGACAAGAGUUAUUGAAAUGUAGAUAUGCAAAUUUCUAUUGCAUUACCUGCACAGAAAAUAUUCCUUCUUUUUUUAAAUAUACUGUAACUCCCUUGAUACAUCCCAAUAAAAAUAUGAGAUAAAAGGGGAAACACAAAUUGCAUACUUUUGUUGUUGUUUAUUCAUUCAGUUGCUUCCAACUCUUCAUGACCUCACAAACCAGCCCACGCCAGAGCUUCCUGUCGGCCGUGGCCACCCCAGCUCCUUCAAGGUCAAGCCAGUCACUUCAAGGAUACCAUCCAUCCAUCUUGUCCUUGGUCGGCCUCUCUUCCUUUUUCCUUCCAUUUUCCCCAGAAUCAUUCUCUUCUCCAAGCUUUCCUGUCUUCUCAUGAUGUGGCCAAAGUAUUUCAUCUUCGCCUCUAAUAUCCUUCCCUCCAGUGAGCAGCCAGGCAUUAUUUCCGGGAGGAUGGACUGGUUGGAUCUUCUCGCUGUCCAAGGCACUCUUAGAAUUUUCCUCCAACACCACAGUUCAAAAGUGUCUAUCUUCCUUUGCUCAGCCUUCCUUAUGGUCCAGCUACUUGAUACCAAAUUGGCUUGUGGGGUGGGGUGUCUUUUUGGGUGUUAUUGCUCAAAAAGGUAAUUGUUCCAUGCUCUAUUUACAACUUACCACAUUCCCACUUUGGAGAAAAUAAAACAUAGUUAGGAGUACUUUUCUGAAGUAGAAAUACAUUGCCUCAGAUCUGAGAAUUAUUAGUUGCUUUCAGUUCCCAUUGAAAUCAGUGGGAACAUACACUAAUACCUAUCUCAGGAACCCUUCUACUCUGUCAUAUAAAAUCCAGAUUAUCUGCUUUGAACUGGAUUAUGUGGCAGUGUAGACUAUCUACACUGUAGAUUAUCUACUUUGAUACUCUGGAUUAUAUGGCAGUGUAGAAGGGGCCUCAGAUCUUACAGGUGACAUUCCAGAACAAUGAGGCACAACCCUAUGGCCAGUUCUCAGGUUAAAGCAGAACUGUUUCAAUGAAGAAUUCAAAAAGUAGCUCUACAUUCUAUCAAACCAAAUUAUUAGUAGAGGGCAUUCACUGUAUGUGGUAUCCAAGAGAUUUGUAGAGGGAGCUGGUAGAUUCCAUUCAGAAUGGUUACAAAAUCAGCACAGACCACAGCCUCAUCGUUUUUACUGCUCUCUUACAUUCAAUCACAUUUUUAAAACAUUCAGGGAUUCAUUAAAAAAAAAAACAUUGGUUUGUAGUGUGUAAGGAAAAGCCAUUGAUCUCCUUUAAAAGAACAAGAAACAUCCUUUUUCUGCCAAAGCAAUUCGGCUCAUAACUAGAGAUGGGAAUUCUGAACUUUCUCUGGGUCCUUUCACAUUGCACAGUUAGAGCACUAUCAUUCCACUUUAACUGCAAUGGCUGCCUCAUAUAAAAUGCUGGAGUUCGUGGCUUGGUCAUAGGCACUAGGCACCAAUUGUGUAUUUAUAUGUAUAUUUUUAUCAAUGUUUAAUGUAUUUAAUUUUAAGUGAUUAUCAAUGUUUAAUGUAUUUAAUUUUAAGUGAUUGAAUUGUCAGUAAUAUUUUUAUAUUGUGUUUUAUUGUAAGCCGCCCUGAGUUCCCUAUGGGUGAGAAGGGCGGGAUAUAAAUACUGUAAUAAAUAAAUAAAAUAAUAGAAUGAUCUGGCUGGGAAUUCGCAAUGUCCCUUCUUCAGACUGCAAUUCCCAGGAUCCUAUAUGAUGUUGCUAUGUUCAAGGGGAAUCAUAAUGCGAAUAUUGUGUAGUCUGAAAGGGCUCCCAAUCUGGUUUGACUUGAUCUGAUGCAGUACUUCAGUAUAAUCUAUGGCAGAGGUGAUUUGCUAUCUCAUCCUACUCACAAUGCCUGGCUUCUUAGCACUGGGCAGUUGGAGUUAUAGUUGGCUAUAUGUAGAGCUGCAUAUGCUGAUUCUGGCCAUGAAAGUGUAGUGUAGCAAAGAUAGGGACAAGUGUGAUCGCCAGAAUGCUUGAACUACUCCGUGGUUGGGUUGUAUGGAAGAAGAUAUUUCAACCUUAUACCAAAGCAAGAAUACCAAAACAGCCGCCUUGAGUCGCCUCUGGGGUUAUUUUAUUUAUUAUUUACUUUAUUUCUACCCCGCCUUUCUCUACCCCGAAGGGGACUCAAGGCUACUUACAUAUGACAACCAUUAGAUACCUUAAAAUAUAUACAAGCAGAUACUUAAAAUCAAUUAAAUUUAAAAUUAAUACAUAUUAAACAUUUAAAGCAUUACAUUCAAUAUUAAAAUAUUGAAUAUUAAAAUAUUAAAUUUGAGAAAGGCAGGGUAUCAAUGUUGUAAAUAAAUAGAAUCUCAGGGAGCUUUUCACUCAAAAUAUGUAUUUUCCUUU
ensembl:lncRNA